rnacentral:rRNA from 1 species
GUAGGGUGGGGAAGCGUUGUCCGGAAUUAUUGGGCGUAAAGCGCGCGCAGGCGGUCCUUUAAGUCUGUUGUGAAAGCCCACGGCUCAACCGUGGAGGGUCAUUGGAAACUGGGGGACUUGAGUACAGAAGAGGAAAGCGGAAUUCCAAGUGUAGCGGUGAAAUGCGUAGAGAUUUGGAGGAACACCAGUGGCGAAGGCGGCUUUCUGGUCUGUAACUGACGCUGAGGCGCGAAAGCGUGGGGAGCAAACAGGAUUAGAUACCCUGGUAGUCCACGCCGUAAACGAUGAGUGCUAAGUGUUAGGGGGUUUCCGCCCCUUAGUGCUGCAGCUAACGCGUUAAGCACUCCGCCUGGGGAGUACGGCCGCAAAGGCUG